rnacentral:misc_RNA from 1 species
AUCCAUCAUGGGCACCAUUACUUUUAUUACUACUGCUUUUGCUACCAGAAUUGGCUGCCAUCUUCAAACCUCCAACUUCAACCUCACUUUUUUUCCCUUACAACCUCUCAACUUGCGCUCUCCUGAAGCAUUCAUCACCAACAAUGUCCGCCAAUUCUCUCCAAGUCAACGCUUACUCUGCCAUUGAUGCUCCAAGUGAAGAAUUGGGGGCUUCAUCUAGGGGUAACAUUGGAGCGAACGACCUGCUGAUUGUUGGACCUGGUGUGCUUGGUCGUUUAGUGGCUGAAAAAUGGAGAGAGGAAUACCCAGGCUGUCAGAUAUAUGGGCAGACAGUGACCACCAAUCACCAUGAUGAACUGAUUAAAAUGGGAAUUAAUCCAUGUUCCAGACAAACCAAGCUGACUUACAAGUUCCCUUAUGUUAUAUUCUGUGCUCCUCCAUCUCA